rnacentral:lncRNA from 1 species
CCAUUUUAUAACUACUUAAACACAUUUAAAUAAUCAUAAUGGAAUGCAACAUAAACAUUUAGAUUUAGUGUAUAUGGGCAUAAUAGUAUUAUGAGUUUAUACAACUAACAAAAUUAAAAUCAAAUAUUUUAACUUUCUAGUUAGUAGGAGCCUAAAUGCAAAUAUGAAAAGUUAGGGGUAAAACCGUAAAUAUUUCAAAGUAAAUAUCAACUUUUCAAAGAUUACAAAAUAGCCCCACAAGUGGAUAAAUCCACUAGGGAGGCCGGCCACAUUAAGGGGAUGGGAGGUUUCUUACACACUCUUACACAACAUGCAUUAAAAGCCACAUUAUGUAGAAAAAAUUAAAUUUUACUUGUCACUUGGUUUUGCCAUUAAAACUUAGGUGAGAUGGGUGAUGGAAAUCCUCCUAGUCAAGUCUAGGGUUUUAUAAGUUUUAAUAUGGUUAUGGAUGGUAAGAACAUCAUCCAAAACCAUAAAACUAUGCAUGAAAACCAAUUAAAACCAUUUUCACCCAAAACCAAACUAUGAACACCAAGAACAAAACCAUGAACACAUUUUCAAGAUUUGUAUAUUCUUGGUGAUUUUUCAAACCCAAAAACAAAAGUGACAAGAAUACUUUUUUCUAGCUUAAAAGGAUGUGAGAGUGGUUUACAAUAAAACACAAGCACAACCCAAAACCACCCCCAAAACCGUGCCAACCAUAAAGAACAAAAACCCCAAAUUUUGUUCAUGACUUAUUCUUCAUUCAUGCAUACAAAACUUUUACAUGCAUAUCUUUUCAACUCUUGAUUUACAUUUUUCAACCAUUGAAAAACAAAAGAUAAACAUACUUUUUAAUGAAGAAAUAAUAUGUCAAACUAGUUCUAAACUCAUUUUUCAUUCAUGCAUACAAAACACUUUUGCAUACAUAUCUUUCUCAAAUUUUGACUAACAUUUUUCAACUCUUGAAAAACAAAAGAUAAACAUACUUUGAAUGAAACAAUAAUAUGUCAGACAUAACAUUAAUACCCAUAUGCAUAAAAUCCAAAAGGACACAUUAUACAUAAACCUUUGGCUCUGAUACCACUUGAAGGGAAAAUUAUGAGUUUUCACAUAAAGGGAUUUCAAAAUGACUAUCAUGCAUAUACAAAUCAAAUUUAAUAUACGAAAGCAGCGAAAGCAUUUAUAACAAAUUAUCAAAGCUAUAGUCAUGCAAAUCACCUUCAAGGUUCAUAGGUUUAUAUAUAAUGCAUCAAAUAAAAACUUAGAGAAAAGAACAAAGUGAAGGUUUAGUCUUAUACCUCUUGAUCUAGACUUGAGACCAAGGAUGGACCACCUCCAAGCCCUUUGUUCCUUGAACUCCUUGAGCCUAGCUUCCCUCCUUGCCUCCUCCACUUUGAUAGAAUGAGUUCUCCUAGGUUCUCUUCAAGUUUCCAAAGUAGGAAACCUCUAAAGAUCCUCACCCACUAGUGUAGUGAGAAGGAUGAAGGAAUAACCAAAGGGUGAAAGAUAUGUUAGUAAAAUCACCCCAAGGUGGCCGGCCUUUGUGUAGUUCUUAGAGAGAUAUUCUUUUGCCUCUUUGUUGUUUUUAACCACACAAAAACCCUAAUGAACAAUAUCUUAUAAAGUUCCUUAUAUAGACAAAAGAAACCUAGCCAACAACUUGACUAAAUAUCUCAUCCUUUCCACACCUAAAAUGGCCGGCCCUUUAGUGUUUGGUUUGGGCUUUUAUUAUUUCAAGUCAUCCAAUGCUUGAAUAAAAGCCCAAUGGGUUUAGGCCCAAUGGGCCCAAUUAAACCUGAACGUUUCUUUAAGCCCAAAACGAUCUUUAUCGCUUUUAUGAUUUCUUUAGACUUUCUAAAUUAAUCACAACACUUAAUUAAUCCAAUUAAUUAUUUCCAUCAUCCAUUAGUUACUCACUACAAUAGUGUAUUGGUGAACAAUCUUUUAGGUUCUAAUUAGCAAGGCAGUGAGGUGAUUGGUAUCAAUCCAAUUGAUUAUAUUUAAUUCAAUCACUUAGUGAAUUAAAACUUCAUUUUAAUUCACCUUUCUUCUUUGAUGACUACAUUUAAUCAUCUAGAAGAACUCACAAGCUAUGAGUGACAUCUAACCAUAUGUCAUAGCUACCCAAGCUAAUGUAGAAGUUUAUUCGGAGAACCUAUUCAGUUGGAAUUACAAUGUAAUUCGAUCCUUCUCUAAAACAAUACUCUCAAUCACAUCAUUAGGGUAUGGAUAUAUUAUGUCAAACCCCUAAUGUGAUUAUUCCUUCUUAUAUGAUUCAAUUGAGUCGUAUAGGAACGCUUUCCUUUAUUACACUCGAUACUUCGGCCGAAGAUUCCCGAAUCAUAUCUUAGAGUAUUCUUCCUCUCUUAUCAAGGAUUAGAGAUUCCUUGUUGCGCAUACACUUGCCUUCAUGACUAAGUGGCUUAACCCCAACUAUGCCGUUGACAUUCUGAUAGAGUGACUUUUUGACAUAAUCAAAGAUCAAGUACUUAACCACAAGACAACGACGAUGCCUCAGGUCAAAGGACUA